CGCUCAUCCAGAGGGGCAGAGGGAUACGGCCCGUUGAAGCCCCGGCAACCACCCAGUCGGUCUCGUACGCGAUCCAUCGGAUCCGGCGUCGCGGGGCUCCCGGCUAGGGAAGGUGCCAAUUCCGUCUCGCGGCGAGAUGCGUCGCGAGGAAGAUGAGGA
rnacentral:ncRNA from 1 species